CUCACAACUUGAGAACCAUUAAACCCAGUGGCUCUUCCUCUCCUCCUUGGGCAUUAGAGUUUGAUUCCUGGCUUAAAGAUGCUCUUCUUCAAGGAAGAUACAACUAUGUGAAUGACUUUUAUGUGAAGGCACCGCACGCAAAAAUGGCUCAUCCUUGGCCAGACCACUUUUACCCAUUGCAUGUGGCCAUGGGUGCUGCAGGCGAAAAUGCCAAGGCCAAGCUUGUGCACCACAGCUGGAGCAAUGGUACCCUUUCUUAUGCUUCUUACCAGUUUAAUGCAGCCAAAUGAAUCAUU
rnacentral:misc_RNA from 1 species